UAUUUUUCAAACCCCAAAAAAACUUUUAACAAACAUUUCAUUUCAUUUUCUUCAAAAAUAGAGAAGGGACGGGAGAACUCUCUGCUAGGGUUCUUUUUUUAACCCAAACCCCAGCCACACCACUGCCAUGACGCCGCCCAAAGCACUACCCUUGACGGCAGUUUGAAGGGACUGAACCAAAGGUGAAGGCGACUCGUGCAAGGUGCUUGGUUGCGGUGCUGAAGACUCCUUUAGAAACUCUAGGGUUUCUUCAUUUGUUUUGGGCCACUUGUAUUUUGGGCCUUGUAUUCUAGGCCAGCUCGUUAAAAUACUGGACUUUUUUAUUUUAUUUUUAUUUAUAAAAGGGCCGGGUAAAAUUUAGGUAUUACAGCUGCCCCUCUUUGCUCGUUAUCAUGUAACGGGAAUGGAGCAAAGACUUUAAAAAUGUCAAAUUUUACCCGGUCGUGCUGGCUUUUGGUACUUUUCUUAUUCAAGUAGCCUCAUUCCUUCCUGCUGCAUCUUCAGAGGUAUAGGAACUAGUGCUUCAAUCUACUCCACUGCAAUGUCAGGGAGAUAGGAUUUGUACGUUGUAGUUUCUCAAAAGAACAAGAUUUGUUAUUUUUAAUCUACUCCACUACAACUUCAGGGAGAUAAGACUUAUAGCUUCAACUUGAUCUGCUGCAACUUAAAAAUGAAUUUGAUGCGAUCUGCUCUACUGUGAUUUCAGCGAGAUAAGAUCCGUGAUUUUAAUCCGCUCCACUGCAACUUCAGGGAGAUAGGAUUAUUGGCCUUAAUCUACUACACUGCAACUUCAGGGAGGUAAGAUUCUCAAUCUUCAACUAUUCCACUACUGACCAGGGAGAUAGGAUUCACAAUCUUCAACCUAUUCCACUGCUGACCAGGGAGAUAAGGCUGGGGACUUCGAUCUGCUCCACUACUACUUAGAGAGAUAAAAUCUGUAAUUUUUAACCUACUCCACUGCUGACCGGGGAGAUAGGAUUCACAAUCUUCAACCUAUUCCACUGCUGACCAGGGAGAUAGGGCUCGGGUCAUUAAUCUGUUUCGCUGUCGGUGCAGGAAGGCAAGAUCUGCUAUUUUUUUAACCUGCUCCGCUGCAACCCAGGGAGGCAAGGCUGGUGUCUUCGAUUUGCUUCGCUGUCGGUGCAGGAAGGCAAGAUCUGCUAGUUUUAACCUGCUCUGCUGCAACCUAGGGAGGCAAGGAUGGUGUCUUCGAUCUGCUUCGCUGUCAGUGCAGGAAAGCAAGAUCUACUAUUUUUAACCUGCUCCGUUGUAACCCAGGGAGGCAAGGCUGGUGUCUUCGAUCUGCUUCUCUCUCGGUACAGGAAGUCAAGAUCUGUUAUCUUCAACUUGCUCCCCUGCAACCCAGGGAGGCAAGGCUGGUAUCUUCGAUCUACUUCACUAUCGGUACAGGAAGGCAAGAUCUGCUAUCUUCAACCUGCUCCACUACAACCCAGAGAGGCAAGGCUGGUAUCUUCGAUCUGUUUCGCUGUCGAUGCAGGAAGGCAAGAUCUGCUAUCUUCAACCUGCUCCACUACGACCCAGGGAGGCAAAGCUGAUAUAUUCGGUUUGCUUCGCUAUCGAUGCAGUAAGGCAAAAUCUACUGUCUUCAACCUGCUCCACUACAACCCAAUGAGGCAAGGCUGGUAUCUUCGAUCUGCUUCGCUGUCGAUGCAGGAAGGCAAGAUCUGCUAUCUUCAACCUGCUCCACUAUGACCCAGGGAGGCAAGGCUGGUAUCUUUGAUCUGUUUCGCUGUCGAUGCAGGAAGGCAAGAUCUGCUAUCUUCAACCUGCUCCACUACGACCCAGGGAGACAAGGCUUUGUGAUUUAACCGAUCUGUUCUCUGAGGAACAUGACCUGUAUAAUGAACUUACAUAUGCCUAAGAUUAGGAUGGCAUGAUCGAAAUGCAUCAAAUGCUCCUAACUAGACAUGUGUGAAUGGUGCUUGCAUGAAUGUAGAAUGUUAUUUUUGAGAAUGAUCCCUUUUUCACUUAA